GCUUGACCAAUUGUCGAAAUAACUUUUAUAUCAAUUAUGGUUUCAGCGAUCUCAAUGCCAGGCAGUUGCGUUAAAAAUAUAACAUAUUCAAAUCGUAGCAAUCGGUGUAAUUCUUAUCAUCCUAACUGAAUAUAAGUUUGCGAGAAGUUGUUCCUAAUUUCAUUAUUAGUGAAGCUCUCACUGUGUUAACACCAAAUAUAUUGAAAUUUUUCAGUGCAAUCGGCGUAAGACCCUCUCAGGAUUUUAAAGGCUGACAGCUACCACCCCACCAUUCGCCGAUAGCAUCCACAAAACCGACGACAAAACCAGGAACCAGGAUCUGAAGGUGUGAUUGUUGAAGUCGAAAAGAUGGGCACCUUUGUAUUCCCGGUUUCUUUUAAAACUUUUGAAAGGAACCUAAACAAACCAGAGGUGUUCGACAGGCUCACUAAAAGCAAAAGGAUUGUUUACAGCUGUUGGGAGAUAGUCAACGUGGUCGUAACAUUUAAAGAAUGUCGCAGACAUUUUCCAUAACAACAAUUCUAUUGUUAGUUUUGACCAGUUUAAGAGGAGCGUGCAGAAUUUAAAAGAAAUUGUGAAAGUUCUGCAACAGUCGGACGAAAAUUAUGCCGGCAGAGAUCUUAAAGAGUGUGCCCAUGACUACUACAUGGCAUUUUACCUCAACCCAGAGAUUCGGCAAAAGUGCAAAUUCCAGUUGCGACCAUGUGCGAUUGAAUUCCAGGACCGCCUACUGGGUUUUCUGAGCAAGAAAACUGCCAAUAAACUGAGGAGAUUUCACUCAACAAAAAGGAAUCAUGAUUUGAUUUCCUGUGAAAGCGAUUCUUCACAAGAUUCAGAAGAUCUUCCUUCUGGCAUUGUAGUUAAAUAAACCCCUGAAUGGGCGGACAAAGAGUUAUAUGAGCUGCAGGCACACUGAUUUGUACUAAGUUAUUAAUAAACAAUAAAUAUUAAAACAAUAUUUCAAGCUGUUGAUUAUUUAGAAAAGCAACAUUCCCGCUUUUUUUUGAGUUUUUUGAAUAAGAU